UAAUACCGCAUAACAACUUGGACCGCAUGGUCCGAGCUUGAAAGAUGGCUUCGGCUAUCACUUUUGGAUGGUCCCGCGGCGUAUUAGCUAGAUGGUGGGGUAACGGCUCACCAUGGCAAUGAUACGUAGCCGACCUGAGAGGGUAAUCGGCCACAUUGGGACUGAGACACGGCCCAAACUCCUACGGGAGGCAGCAGUAGGGAAUCUUCCACAAUGGACGAAAGUCUGAUGGAGCAACGCCGCGUGAGUGAAGAAGGGUUUCGGCUCGUAAAACUCUGUUGUUAAAGAAGAACAUAUCUGAGAGUAACUGUUCAGGUAUUGACGGUAUUUAACCAGAAAGCCACGGCUAACUACGUGCCAGCAGCCGCGGUAAUACGUAGGUGGCAAGCGUUGUCCGGAUUUAUUGGGCGUAAAGCGAGCGCAGGCGGUUUUUUAAGUCUGAUGUGAAAGCCUUCGGCUCAACCGAAGAAGUGCAUCGGAAACUGGGAAACUUGAGUGCAGAAGAGGACAGUGGAACUCCAUGUGUAGCGGUGAAAUGCGUAGAUAUAUGGAAGAACACCAGUGGCGAAGGCGGCUGUCUGGUCUGUAACUGACGCUGAGGCUCGAAAGUAUGGGUAGCAAACAGGAUUAGAUACCCUGGUAGUCCAUACCGUAAACGAUGAAUGCUAAGUGUUGGAGGGUUUCCGCCCUUCAGUGCUGCAGCUAACGCAUUAAGCAUUCCGCCUGGGGAGUACGGCCGCAAGGCUGAAACUCAAAGGAAUUGACGGGGGCCCGCACAAGCGGUGGAGCAUGUGGUUUAAUUCGAAGCUACGCGAAGAACCUUACCAGGUCUUGACAUACUAUGCAAAUCUAAGAGAUUAGACGUUCCCUUCGGGGACAUGGAUACAGGUGGUGCAUGGUUGUCGUCAGCUCGUGUCGUGAGAUGUUGGGUUAAGUCCCGCAACGAGCGCAACCCUUAUUAUCAGUUGCCAGCAUUAAGUUGGGCACUCUGGUGAGACUGCCGGUGACAAACCGGAGGAAGGUGGGGAUGACGUCAAAUCAUCAUGCCCCUUAUGACCUGGGCUACACACGUGCUACAAUGGAUGGUACAACGAGUUGCGAACUCGCGAGAGUAAGCUAAUCUCUUAAAGCCAUUCUCAGUUCGGAUUGUAGGCUGCAA
rnacentral:rRNA from 1 species